UUCAGAUCAAGAUGUAACCAGGAUUAUGUCUGCUCCAAGUUAUUUAUUGACAUUAUGCACACUCCCAUGCUCCCUGCUGUGAUGAUAAUGGACUGAACCUCUGAAACUCCAUUACCAGCAGAACCAUGUUGAAAGUAAAGGAUGGACUGCACAGUGGAGAAGCAUCUUCUUUACCAGCUCUUGGGCUGACCAAGCUACUACUACCCAUGUUUAACUAGAUAAGAACAAUGGAGUGGACGACGUAACUUCCUUCACGAAUUCUUAGACUCUUCACACCAGCUUUCUGCUUCAGCCCCAAUAUCAUCAGAACGUGGCAUUCAACAACUUCCCUAAUGGCCAAAGGCAAGGAGGAGGAAGAAGACACAGUGAGGCCCCCCUGCCUAGUGUCCCCAGAGCAAGCAACUUGCAUAUAGGGACAGUUCUUGCUGCAAUUGCUGGUGAGUUUACCAGAGCAGAGAAGUCAAAGACCUCUGGAACCCAAAGCCUCAGCACAUGGGCAAAGUGAUUCUACUUGCCAAUUCCCUAUUUUUUUGCACAGGGGGAUGGAUGUCUUACGGGAUAGGGUCAUGCAAAUUCAUCUUGGGCUUCUGAAGCAUCAGGUAAUACACUCGGCCACAGGCAGGAUUCCAAAACCAUUUUCCAAGCUGUCAAAUCCUGUAUGAAAAACCUAAUAUUUUGACCACCCCUCACAUCUCAUGGCAUGCUUGCCUGGCACUAAGAAAUGCACUCAUGGAGAACAUAGAGUAAUAGGUCACUUACUGGAGCAUAGCCUUGAAGUACUUGAAGAAAAAUGCCAUUUCCAUGGAAUUUGAGAACCAUCGAGGAAGGAAAGACCUUAAACAAAUAUUGUUCAGACAGAUAGAUAGAUGGAUGGUAAAUCACACACACACACACAAAUACACACACACACACACACACACACACACACACACACACACACACACACACACACACCACAUGAGUCUCUUAUAGUAGGGGUGGGGGAAGAAAGAACUCUUUCUGCCUUUGGCUUCUCCUUUAAAUAUUUGACGGAGAAAUCAAUAGUUCCACUGCAACACCCAUGGGUUGUGGUAUGUGGAGGAGAAAGAGAAAAAGAAAAAGAAAAAAAAAACCCUUAUAUUUAAACAGGGAUUUUAACCUUUUCACCUUAGCCUCUUCUAUUUCCUUUCCUUCUACUCAUAGCAUUUAGGUAAAUUAGGAAAAGAUUCCUCCAUAAACAUGCAAGGGGAUCUGUUAAACUUUCAUCUCUAAUUUAUUCAUGAAGGAGCCAGGUCUUCCCUGGCCCGGCUGUGCAUCAGACUGUCAGGAUGACUUUCUCUCUUGUUGAGAAAGGCCAUGGGAGGAGACAGAGCACAAGCCUGGGCUUUGCAGGCAAUUGCUGCCAGAAGAAAACAAAACAAUCCUUCCCCAAACAAAUGAACAAAAGCCACUUGCUCAGCUAAGUGAGUGUGAGCAAAACUUUGUGAUUGCUGGAAUGAGUCCUAAGCAUAUAUGCAUGGGAAAGUGUCGAAUAAAAAUGUAAUAUAAGUUGUAUAUUAUAAACAUGUAAUAUAUAAAAUGGAUAUAUAUAUUCUAUAAUACACAUGUGAUAGGAAUAUAUGUUCUAUAUGCCUGAGAUUGUUUAUGCACCAACAUUGUAUAAAGGUACUCUAUUACCAGCCCAGUGUACAGUUGGAUGUAGUGUCCUGAACAAUGCAAGACACAUCUGAAUUUAAACUUCUAAAUCAAGUUGUUUUCAGAUCUGCUACGUUGCUGUAGUUUUAAGGGCAUGGAAGCUUCAGACUGGGGAUUGUCCACCCUGACAGUUCUUGUCCGCAUGCAGAGACGCAGAUCUCUAUUGAACUCUGUGCAAGAGACCAUGUGUGUUCACCCUAGGCACCUGGAAUGUGUAUGCUCAGAAUACUUAACAUUUUAAGUAUACCCUCAGUUUUGCUUUCAAACUGGACUGUUGUUUAAUAUGUUGGAUGCUUUCUAUUAAAUAUUUCUCAUCUUUGAGGUUUUCUUUUGCAUUGAAAUCAUUUCCCAGUUUGUUUGUUUCUUUUUUUGUCCACUUUCAAAUAGACAUUGCUUUGGAGGCUCGUGGAACAGGAAGCAGUCUUGUAAUAUGAAAGCCCUUAUGUGAGUUGAUAAAUAGGUUGCUUGGUUUUGCCAUCCCCACCCUAGCAUUCAAAAAUUAUCAUCUUUUAUACAUGGGAAAAAGGGAGGGGGUGUGAUCUGGCAUUAGUUCUUUUAGUCGUCAGGAAAUUACAAAAUGUACACUUGCGAAGUAAGCAAUUUUUGCAGUCGGCCUGCACAUCCAUCUUUUUAAUGAGCCUUGUUUAUAACUCGACGCCAUGCUUCUAGUCACCUACCCUGUUUACGUCUUUGGCCCCUUUAAUUAAGAGAAGAACCAGUUAAAAGAAAGUGGGAAGAAAUAUUAAUAUGAUCUGAUUAAUUCAGCUAGCAGGAGGUUAUGGGGUAGCAAGGUUAUUAUAACCUAUAAAGGCAAUAUGAAUAAAGCUGUAUCCAUUUGUAAUUUUAUUAGGCGGAGCAAAUUAGUGAGACUGCAUAACAGUGACAAAAGACCUGUUCCUAUUCUCCCUUACCCCCUACUGCAAGGGCCAGGUGCCCAAAGUUAGGCUCCAUAUUAGGCAAAUGAGGUCUGAUAAAUCUCAGCUGCUCAGCUAAUGAGAACCUCCUGAGCGGCCGCUAUGCUAAUUUGGAAAGAUUAGCUGGGAUGUGUGUGUGUGUGGCUAGUUAAAGUCCAAUGAGAUAAAAGUGAAGCCCCGGCAAGGGGAACCAAUACCCACAAAGGGUUAAAGACAGAAAGCCUCUCUUGGGACAGGUAAGGCAAGGCUGAUGGAUACACAGUGGCAGUUAUCAUGAAGUAAACUAUCAAGAGUAGUUGGAGGAAUGGCAUACAAUCGGAAAAACUAGAACUUAAAAAGAAAGAUGGCUGUAACCGGCCCCUUUUAAUGAUGAAAGUCAUAAAGCCCACCUAAAGGCCCCCUCUUCAGCUUCUGAAGUCCUCCCAUUGCGGACCCCAUCAUAUCACAACACAACAUUUCUCCAAUUUGAUAGAAUCAGCAAAAAUUGGAGUGUUUAUUUCUGGCAAAAAAAAAUGUAGUGGAUCUUGAAAAGGAGGAUUUAAAGUAAAGUAACGCAGGCAUGUUGAUAGCUUUUAAUACCAAGAUCUUACAUAUCUGCCAUAACACAAUUCCUUGUUUAGAAACAGCUUCAUUAUUUCAGAAUUCUGUCUCGAAAAAUGUUUUUAGGCUCUAGUAGACAGUCAUUUCCAUGUCUUGCUUCCACUGACCCAUCCUUCACAACUCCAAGUUCUGACUUUCUGUGUGUCUGGUCAUUGUUCCAUCUGUACGGUGGAUCUUCCAUCUGUACGGUGGAUCUCCCGCUCUAAGUUCUGACUUUCUGUGUGUGUCUGGUCAUUGUUCCAUCUGUACGGUGGAUCUCCCACUUUGUGGCCCAUCCUUAUCCGGUCUCAGCCUGCCUCCACCACUACAGACAAACUGUGUUCCUGCACCGUGAGAGUCCCCCUCCCCCAUUCUGCUGUGCUCGGGACUGGGUUUUUGUUUAGCCACUUGCAAGCCUUGUUCUGUUCUAAUAUUUGAAUAUUGUAGUGGUUCUUAGUCAAAGAAUACAACAUAGAUGCAAAUCUGCAAUGGCUCAUCUGAGUUGUUAGCCAAAUGAUAAAAGUAUCCGUCUAUCAUCAGUAGCACAUUCCAUUGGAUAUCUUCUUUCAAAUAAGAACAUCUAUACAUUGACUAAAAGUCUCAGAUGAUCUCAGAAAUCCAA